UUUUUGUGGUCACUUGCUUUUUAUGUGCAGUUAGUUUACCAGGCGAAAGUUGAGUCAUUGGAAAAAGAUUCUUCUGGGUGCAAGAGUUUGGUGGAAGAAGCCUGAGCAGAUCUCGUAGCCUUGGAUAUAGAAGAAUAGAAAUUAAGGUCACAAACACGAGAGCUGAAGAAUGCUGAAGCAUGGUGUAAUUCAGAUGAUAAGGACAGGACGAGUGAAGAAGGACAGACUAGCAAUACGCAACACUCUGAGGCUUGUUGAGAAAAUGAGGGAUCUGGAAAGUAAAGUGAUAA